GACGAACGCUGGCGGCGUGCCUAAUACAUGCCAGUUGAGCGCUGAAGGUUGGUACUUGUCCCAACUGGAUGAGCAGCGAACGGGUGAGUAACGCGUGGGGAAUCUGCCUUUGAGCGGGGGACAACAUUUGGAAACGAAUGCUAAUACCGCAUAAAAACUUUAAACACAAGUUUUAAGUUUGAAAGAUGCAAUUGCAUCACUCAAAGAUGAUCCCGCGUUGUAUUAGCUAGUUGGUGAGGUAAAGGCUCACCAAGGCGAUGAUACAUAGCCGACCUGAGAGGGUGAUCGGCCACAUUGGGACUGAGACACAGCCCAAACUCCUACGGGAGGCAGCAGUAGGGAAUCUUCGGCAAUGGACGAAAGUCUGACCGAGCAACGCCGCGUGAGUGAAGAAGGUUUUCGGAUCGUAAAACUCUGUUGGUAGAGAAGAAUGUUGGUGAGAGUGGAAAGCUCAUCAAGUGACGGUAACUACCCAGAAAGGGACGGCUAACUACGUG
rnacentral:rRNA from 1 species